GCUAUCAUCCGCCGCGUUGGUGCUCGUCGAGGCCGCCCGGCCGAGACAGUUCAACGGGAAUCAGGAAGGGCCGCGCGGCACGCGGCGGCCCCCACCUGAGCUGCCCCCGCAACGGUAAGCGGACGGGAAACCGCGGUUUCCCGCCCCGUGUCGAGACCCACUGGGCAGCGGCCGCGUGCGCGCGACCGCCGCCUGGGAAGGGGACACGGGGACGUCCGUCAGCCCGGAUACCGGCCAACGAGGCGGCGCGCCG
rnacentral:ncRNA from 1 species